rnacentral:rRNA from 1 species
UACGUAGGGUCGAAGCGUUAUCCGGAAUUACUGGGCGUAAAGCGUGCGCAGGCGGUUAUGUAAGACAGGUGUGAAAUCCCCGGGCUUAACCUGGGAACUGCAUUUGUGACUGCAUAGCUAGAGUACGGUAGAGGGGGAUGGAAUUCCGCGUGUAGCAGUGAAAUGCGUAGAUAUGCGGAGGAACACCGAUGGCGAAGGCAAUCCCCUGGACCUGUACUGACGCUCAUGCACGAAAGCGUGGGGGAGCAAACAGG